ensembl:lncRNA
GUGACGUCAUCACUCGAAGUGGGAGUCUAGACGGCGCUCGUUUGACGUUGUCAUCCAUGAUCAAUUUGCCCCUCAUUUACCGCGUUUUCACAAUGAUUAAUUUUAGCCAUCUUAAGCAACAUCUGUCCUGAUAACUGCCCGGAGCGUCUAAUAAUAAUAGCUUCAAAAUACGCUUAGUUUCUGGGAGAGAAUGAGCAUGGAAGUUUGAAUGAGCGUCCUGGACGCCGAGGAAGCGGACAAUGUUGCCAGAUUGAGCCAUAUUUCCUGUACAAUCUGGCAACCCUGGAAGCCGUUUGGCUCGGAGGAACGGAAACACAGGGCUCCCAGUAUGAGUUCACCGACUUUACUCUGCCUAGCCAGACCCAACACAGAGACAACCGGACGAACAAGCAGCCGUGUGCCAGCCAGAGCAGCCUGAAGGACUUCCACUGGGACGGCUCCCAGGCGCUCAUCCUGGGCCGCUGGGCCUGUCCUGGCUGGUGAAGUUCCCCUCGGAGCAGGAGCAGCUCUGCACACGCCAGGCCACCGCCCAGCAGGUCCACACGCUGGAGGAACUCUGGAAGGCCAAUGUGCAGCGCCUCGGAGACACGGAGGCGGAGCGGCCAGAGCACGGGAUCGCUGCGGCUCCGGGACGGGAAUCAACGCAUCACGAGCUGCAGCUCUGUCCCGCCAUGUAUCACAAGUUACUGCAUCUCCAGCCGGUGGACUUUGGAGCACUGGUAGACGUGGGCGCCGGUCUGUGUGUCGGCACACGCCCGGCCUCCGUCCUGGAGCCGCACCGUGUCUGGUGCACAUUGGCCUUCAGCCACUCCCUUGCCCCGACACCUCACCAGAUUGUGGUCGGUUUGGGAGUGGGCGUGGAGAGAUAACUAGCCCCACCCUGUCUACCCUCCUUGGCCGCUGCCACACUCAUGCAUUAGUGGAUACCUGAUAAAUGUUUGAUUGAUUUAUAUAUGCAUAAUUUUAUGUUUAAAAUAAAUAUGCAAACAAUAUUGGGGGAAUGAGUCAGGGGGCCAAUGUGUGUAUAUAUGUGGUAUAUGUUCUGAAGGAGACCUGUGGCCCUUGUUCUGCGGGUUCUCCUUGACCUUCUGUAGGAGACUCUGGGGAUGAGAUGGCCAUGGAGGAUCAGCGGGCGCUCCGUUGGAGGUGCCUCACGACCCUAAAACCCUGACUCCCAGCCGGACUCUCUGUGGUGGGCCGCCUCCUUGACAGGAACUGACGCACAGCUCCCUGGAGACCCCUACGGUGGACGAGACCCCUGUGGUGGACGAGACCUCGGUGUCGGGCUGCGUCUACCACCAGCUGCUGGGCCACGAGGGGGGGGAGGACGUGGUCAUCAGGGGUCCGCUCCCCACGCGCUUCACCGCCCCGGGCAUGCCCGGCCUCCACCAAUCCCGGGUGGGAGGGCACCAUCCAUCCCUCCUUACAACCAGCAGGCAGUGCUGGGACGUGCUGAGACGGCUCCCCUGCACUUAUAUUCGUGGAUGAUAAUGAGUAAAACGGGCAUGAGCUUGGUUAGUUUAUAAUUACAGAGCAAAACACACCUUGCAUUCUUCUGCCAAACUUACGGAAACAAAACACACCUCACACAAUACCAACCUCAGUUUACUAUUCCGUUCGUGAUUUCGGUGUGCGUGUGUGUGCGUGCCUGGGGUGUAAAAAACGGUAAUACCGUGGACUCCUACCUUUUGUAUUUCACCUGGUUCUUUUCCACCAGGGUUUAAAACCAUAUUUUCCACCUGCUGUCAUUAAGGUGUAUGAGGCGUAGACCGUCCUACAGCGCCCCCUGAGUCUGAUCCAGGUACUACAGGCACCGUGCUCAACCACCUGGCCAGGCGGGGCAGCGGGUAACUCGCUGUGUCUGAGCUUGGCCCGGUGUGAUGAUGUUUGCUGUGAGCUGUGUGGCCCAAUAGGACAGGGCUUAGAGGGUGUUUGUCUGGAACAGGGGUUCCCAAACUCCUUUAACCCGAGACCCAAAAGAGAAAUUUGCUGUCUCCCCGGAACCCAAACGUACAAGAUGCAGCAUGAAUUGCCGUAACAUCUACUUUAAAAAUGUUGAUAAAGAAUACAACAAUUAAAUCAAUUAAAAUGUA